CUAAAUUGAAAGUUGAACAUCACGUUUGUGAAUCAGUUUCAGAUCCGCCGCUCCCCUCUCUUUCUCUCUAACCCUAAAUCCCUCCACCAAUCCACCACCAACUCCAAGCCGUUGUCCGUCGUCUGUCGCCCCCUCCAAGCCGUCGCCUGCCGCCUCUCCAGCUCCGGCCCAACUCAGAAGGUUUGUCUCAUGCACCACGCCGACGCCCCGCCACAACUUCACGCCGUCGUCUCCACAGCUCCGACUCUAGCCGUAGCUGCUGUGUAGAAGAAGAAAAGGGAAUUAAUGCAGUUAAAUGGCAACCGCAGCUGCUGUGUAGAUGAAGCAAAGGAUUUGAAACUUUCUGUUAUGUUUUUUUUCUAGAUUUUCGGUUUAGAUUAUUCGGAUUUUUGGUUUUCGGUUUUUCGGUUUUUUAUAUAAUUUCAGUUUUUCGGUUUAA